AUUGCUUCUUGGCCUUUUGGCUGAGAUCAAGUGUAGCAUCUUCUUAUCGGAUAAUAAAUUAUAACACAAAUCAAAGAUGAGGAAAGAGUGAUACUUGACAUUUU
ensembl:snRNA U2 U2 spliceosomal RNA